CGAUGACAGAACAGAACAAAAGAAAACUUUGGCCAUGACAGAAUCAAAAUUACAUGUGAAAAUAAAGAUCUAAAAUAUAAGUGCAAUAGUGGACACGAUGUCGUGAGCUGCCCGGCCCAAGACUGCGAGAACCUCACAAAUAUGAAUAAGUUCAGCGCUGGCAUCUGGUGGCUGCUCUGUCUACUGAUACAGGUGGUCAGCGCUCUAGCGUGCAAGAAGAAGACGUCGUGCCGGCCACCGCGCUGUCCCGGCGGCUGCAAGCCCAAGUACUGGUGAUCAGACCGAGUAAUGUGGUACGAGUGGGCCGUGUCGCUGUGGUGGUGGGCGCUGUGCGUGGCGCUGAGCGCGGUGGGCGCGCGCGGCUGCAAGAAGAAGACAGUCUGUCGCCCGCCGCCCGGCGGCCGGCCCGGCUGCGGCGGCCGCGGCAAGCGCUGAGCAACCACGAGGGUGUUCCUGUACACGUGGACAAGGAACCACACACACCGACACAGUGAGGAUCUUACAUACUCCUCACUAAGUGACCACUGCCGGCCGGAGGUGCGCAGAGUGCGUCCGAGUGCUGCUACAAGCGCUCACAUUGUUGACUCGUGAUAU